UACAGAGGUCCCGAGCGUUGUUCGGAUUCAUUGGGUGUAAAGGGUGCGUAGGCGGCUUCCUAAGUUUGAUGUGAAAUCCUGGGGCUCAACCCUGGAACUGCAUUGAAUACUGGGAGGCUAGAGUACUGGAGAGGAAACUGGAAUUUACGGUGUAGCAGUGAAAUGCGUAGAGAUCGUAAGGAAGACCAGUGGCGAAGGCGAGUUUCUGGACAGUUACUGACGCUGAGGCACGAAGGCCAGGGGAGCAAACGGG
rnacentral:rRNA from 1 species